UGGUUGAUCCUGCCAGUAGUCAUAUGCUUGUCUCAAAGAUUAAGCCAUGCAUGUCUAAGUAUAAGCACUCUAUACUGUGAAACUGCGAAUGGCUCAUUAAAUCAGUUAUCGUUUAUUUGAUAGUACCUUACUACAUGGAUACCUGUGGUAAUUCUAGAGCUAAUACAUGCUAAAAACCCCGACUUCAGGGAGGGGUGUAUUUAUUAGAUAAAAAACCAACGCCCUUCGGGGCUCCUUGGUGAAUCAUAAUAACUUAACGAAUCGCAUGGCCUUGCGCCGGCGAUGGUUCAUUCAAAUUUCUGCCCUAUCAACUUUCGAUGGUAGGAUAGUGGCCUACCAUGGUGGCAACGGGUAACGGGGAAUUAGGGUUCGAUUCCGGAGAGGGAGCCUGAGAAACGGCUACCACAUCCAAGGAAGGCAGCAGGCGCGCAAAUUACCCAAUCCCGAUACGGGGAGGUAGUGACAAUAAAUACUGAUACGGGGCUCUUUUGGGUCUCGUAAUUGGAAUGAGAACAAUUUAAAUCCCUUAACGAGGAACAAUUGGAGGGCAAGUCUGGU
rnacentral:rRNA from 1 species